AUUUUACGCGUCAUCACGUUGGUCACGUGGCUACACUGUCUCACUUCCGGGUUUCGGACGGUUAGUGAUUUCCCUACACACAUCUUUUGGUAAGUGUUUAUUAACAUAUAUCUAUAUAUAUUCACUUGAUAUAUGAUAUAAUUGAUCUUGAAAAAGGCCCUAUAGGGGUCGAAACGUAAAUCACAAAAAAAAAUUUUUGGCACAUGUAAUUUGCAAUUGAAAUAAAUUAAGACCUGAGAGUGCACCUUAUUUGUAUUUUUUAUUAUUUACAUCAAUGCUGAGGUUUGCACCCAGGCAACAGCUCAAUAGAUUUGCAUCAAAGGGUGAGUGCCAAGUUCAUCUCUUUUUUUUAAUAUAUAUAUAUAUAUAUAUAUAUAUACACAUAUCUACUGAUAUUGGCACCCUUGGUAAAUAUGAGCAAAGAAGGCUGUGAACAAUUGUCUUCAUUGUUUAACCUUUUGAUUUUUUGUUUAAAAAAUAAACAAAAGUACUUGGCUUUCAUGGAUAUGUUUGUGAAGUGUACGUUUGGCAAAAUUGUUGGAGCCCCUGUGAGAAAAAUAUAUUUGAAGUAUAUUCCCAUUGAUAUUUAAAUUUUUUAGUAAAAUAUCUGAGUGACUAGGAAAAGGAAAUUUUUCAUCUUCCUGACUUACAUGGGUAUAAAUAUGAGAAAACACACUUUGUAAAACCAAGGAAUAUAGCGGUGAUGUGGGGCAAAAGAUUGUUGAGCAUCACAAAAUGGGAAGUGGCUAUAAGAAAAUCACAAAGCAUUGAAAAUCCCCAUUUCCAUCAUCAGGACAAUAUUUAAGAUGUUCCAGUCAACUGGAAAUGUUAUGGAUCAAGAAGAGGACGUGUGUCUAUAUUGUCUGAACGCCCUGUGAAGAGGAUGGUUUGGGUGGCUAAAAUUUCUCCAUUGAUCACAGCUGAAUAAUUACAGAAGUUAGUUUCAUGUCUGGGUCAGAAAGUCUCCAAAAACUACAAUCCAAUGUCACCUACAUCACUACAAGUUGUUUGGAAGGGUUUCAAGAAAAAAGCCUCUACUCAGGGGCGUACCUAAAGCAUUUGGCACCUGGGGCGGGUCCUAUUUUUGGCACCCCCCUCCACCACCCAACUUUAAAAUGUAAAAAACAACCACAAUUCUUUUUUUUUUUUUACAUUUAUUUAGCACUAAGCAGUGUUUAUGCUUUUAAAUGUAAGCAUGUUUUUGUAUGGAGUAUGUUUGAGUGAACGUAGGAUGUGUGUAUGUAUGUGGUGUUGGUGUUUGAAUGCAGGCAUGCAUUUUUGUGUAGUGUGGUUUUUGAAGGCAGUGGUGUGGUUAUAUAUAAUGGUGGAGUUUGUAUGUAGUGUUGAUGUUGAAAUGCAGGGGUGUAUUUGUGUGUAGUGUUGGCGAGAUUCUGAGAUGUAUGCACAUAUACACAUACACACACCUAAAUACACACUGACACACAUGCAGAUACAUAGACACAUAGGAACAAUAUAUAGGGGGUGGGCACAUAAGAUACCACAAGCCAAACUGGGGGGAGGGGGGCACUAAAACUUUUCACUAGGGGAUGGGUUAAUGUGCUGCCAUUGGCUGCCUGAUGCCAGCAUGCAGUGCACAUUGGCAUCAGUCAACAAAUUUGCAUAUAAUUCACAUUAGCCACCCAGAUUUCUUGUUUGUGGGCUAGCUGACACCUCUUAACGUCGAUCUUUGUUUAUCAGAUAACUCCCUUAUUUGCUAUCCUUAUGUGUGAUUGCCAUAUUUAAGGACACCAAAUAAGGAUAAGGGAGCUAUCUGCUAAACAGCACCCUAAUUUGGUAUCUUUAAAUAUGGAAAUCUCACAUAAGGACACCAAUUUAGAGAAUUAUCAACUAAACAGCUAAAAUAUCAAUUUAAAAAAACAAAAAACAUUUCUUAAUUUCAGUUGUUUAGUAGAUAACGCCCUUAUUUGUUAUCCUUAUGUGGGAUUGCAAUAUUUAAGGACACCAAAUAAGGGAACUAUGUACCAAACACAUACACAUUUAUAUACACACACAAUAACACAAUAGGUGUAUGUCUGUAUGUGUAUAUCUGUGAUUGUGUGUGUGUAUGUAUGUGAUGUUUGUGUGUGUAUAUCUAAUUAUGUGUGUUUGUAAUUGUAUGUGUGUGGGUCUGUGAUUGUGUAUGUCUGUGUUUAUGUGUGUGGUUGUGUGUGUAUCUCUGUUGUUAAGUGUGUGUGUGUGUAUAUAUAUAUAUAUAUAUAUAUAUAUACACACACACAUACACACACACACACUUAACUACAGAGAUACACACACACACUUAACGACAGAGAUACACACACAACCACACACAUAAACACAGACAUACACAAUCACAGACCCACACACAUACAAUUACAAACACAAUUAGAUAUACACACGCAAACAUCACAUACAUGCACACAUUUAAUAAUUAAGAGGUCCACCCAGCCUCCCUACCUUGCUCUGGGAGGGCUAGAGUGGAUCCUCAGUCCCUGGUAGUCAGUGGUUGCUGUUGGGAUCUCUGUGCUCUUCAUGCACACGUCCCUUGCACAUCCUGUAAUAUGACGCCGAUGCUUGGAUGAUGUUAUGUGCCGACUCACUGCAGGGCGAAGACAGUCAGAUACAGUCAGAUGUACACAGUUAUACGCAUAUACUGUCAAAUACAGCCACAUGCACACCGUACCAAACACAUAUUCACUUGCACACUGUCAAAAGCACAGCUGCAGACAGUCACACACACACACACAGCUACAGGCAGAUAGUCACACACACACACACAAUUACAGGCAGACUGUAACAUAGUUACAGGCAGCACACAGUCACACACACUCAGUGACAUGCAGACAGUCACACACAGUCACAGGCAGACAGUCAUACACAGUCCCAGGUAGACAAUUACAGGCAGACAUUCAUACAUACAGGCACAGGCAGACAGUCACACACACAGUCACCAAAAGUCAGUCUCACGCACAGUCACAGGAAGACAGUCACACUCAGUCCCAGGUAAACUGUCACAGGAAGACAUUCACAGGCAUAGACAGUCACAGAUGCAGUCCCAGGUAGACAGUCACAGGCAGACAUUCACACACAGUCACAGACAUUUCCAGGGAGAUAGUCAUAGACGCAGUCACAGGCAGACAAACACACAGUCACAGGCAGAGAGUCACAGGCAGACAGUCACAGACACAGUCACAGGUAGACAGUCACAGGCAGACAUUUACACACACAGGCACAGGCAGACAGUCACAGACGCAGUCACAGGUAGACAGCCACAGGCAGACAUUCACACACAGUCACAGAUAGUCACAGGCAGACAUUCACACACACACAAUCACAGAUAGUCACAGGCAGACAUUCACACACACACAAUCACAGAUAGUCACAGGCAGACAUUCACACACACAGUCACAGAUAGUCACAGGCAGACAUUCGCACACACACAGGCAGACAGUCACAAGCAGUCUCACACACACACACACACACACACUCUCUCUCUCUUACUGGUGGAGGAGUGGAGUCAGUGAGUCCCUGGUGUGUUGGAGUUGGGGAAGCAGUGACUCCUUCCUGCUUCCCCUCAGUGUGCUGCAGUGAAAGGCAGCAAAUGGAGGCUGGCUGUAGCUCCGCCCCUGCAUCCGGAUUGGCUCCGCCUCCAUGGCAGAGUUGACUCCGCCCCCAAUUCUCCGUGCAGUACUUCUGUACUGCUGAAUUCCCAGCCCCUGCGUGUGUGAGAGCUGUGUGGCUCCCAGCACCCUGUGCAGCCAAAAAAUGUUUGUGAAAUAUGUGUUUUUUGUGCCUGGAGAUAAUUGAGUUUUGUACAGUUCCUGACUCAAUUAUCUCCCAGGCAUGAGGGAGGGAUUAUCCUAUUUUGUGUGGAAGUGUCAUGGGCGUGCUUGUCUGUGUUCAGAAAUGUAUAAAAGCAAGCCAUCUGGCCAGAUUAAAGGUAUUCCAGCUUGUACUCCCAGAACUAUGUGUCAUCUGGUUACUGGGAGGGGAAAGGGCUAAUCACUGAUCACUGCUCCAGUGUGGAGGAUUCAACGGGGAAAGUCCUUGUAAGGACUAGAGCUACCAGGACUGAGUGUUGUCCAGUGCCUGGGGGUUGCUAGAGCAAGUUCCCCAUUCGGCUUCAGGAGGGAGCGGUUCUAGGACCCCAGUCAAGCCACGGCGACUGUGGGCAGAAGUGCUGCUGUUUGUCUCCUGUUCCAGCUAUCAUGCGGUCCUUAGUGGAGGUACCCAGCCAGGGGUACAGGGAGAUCCGUUACAUAAGCAUUGGGUUAGGGCUGGUGUAGAGUUAGCGUUAACUACAAAAAAUGAAUAUAGAUCCUUGACAUAUAAGGACUGAUUUGUGAAUUUAUUUUGAGUUUGUUUUCUUUAGUUGCACUUGAAGUGUAAAAAUCUAUAUGUAAAACUGUGAAAACCAUUUUCCUGUUUUUAACAUUUCUUUGUACUUAAUGUGGUGUUAGGUUUGCAUAUAGAAUAUUAAAUGAGGGCUAUUUCUGUCCUUUCAAAAAUAAAAAUAUAAUAUGUAUGGUUGCACUUAAAUAGAAACCCUUAAAUUAUGGUGGAACAAACACAUAGCACAAAUUAUAGGUUUUGUUUAGAUUCUGAUGUUGGAUAAUUGCCUCCAUUCUUAAGGGGUUUCAGUUUAAUGACUUUGAAGACUGACAGUAAUUGCAUGGAUUGUAAUUUACCUGUUUGUUUGUAAAACAUAUGUUAAUGAAACAUAAGAUAAGGUCUUAAAUUCAUUUAGAGUUGUGUGUACUCUGAAGUCUCUCUAAAGUAUUUCUUCUAUGGCUAGAUCUCCUACUUUAAAAAAGAAAUAAUUUAACAAAUAUGUGUAGGCAGACCGUGUUAAACUGUUUAAAAAUUGGUUAAUGGAAGGGCAGCGACAGAGGACUAAAGGCACUAUAACCAAUUUAAUCAGAUUAAAUGAUUAUAGUGCCUACAUUGUCCCUUUAGUUACUCGUUAUCAAUGCAGCUGUGAUGAGGGUUCUGUCUUGGUUCUGGAAGACCCUCGGUUUAUAUCAAACCAUUCUUGAAUAGCUUGCUAUUAAAUAGAGGUAUGGCACCUGGGGAUCCUUAGCUACUAAUUGCAACAGUGAGAUGUAGUGUUUAUAUUAUGUAGAGAAGGGGUACUCUAUAGGUAGAUUCCCAGAUGUUUUAGAACUACAACUCCCAUGAUGGUUUGCAUGCCUUUUGAAUGCUUUAGAAUGACAAACCAUCAUCAAAUCUGCUGGUCAAAGUAGUUCUACAACAUCUGGGGAUCUACCUUUUGGGCACCAAUGAUGUAGAGUGUCCCUUUAAAGUAAAUAUGUCAUUACAGCUUACGUAAAAAAACAAUGUGAAUUAGGAUAUGUCUGUAAGAUGCUUUAUUAUUAUGAAAUGAAAAUUAUUGUGUAUUAUCUGCUCAUCCCCAUGUACUUAACCAAUACCUGUCCUCUAUCCUUCAAUAGGAAAUUCUGGCUACCCCUUAAAGUCAUGGAUGCUUGUGUCCUUCGGAAAUUCUGUGAACACUGGACACAAAUGCUACAACCAGCUAUAUAAAAGCAGGUUUUGUUGUCUUGAUGGAACUAUAAAUGCUUCUGCAAAAUAUGGCCAGGAAUAAGAAGCUUCUACCAGAUAAUGAGGAAGUUCUGAAUGAGAAGUCAAGAACUAUCUGAAUGUGGGGAUUGUCAGACAUGUCUUACCUAGGAACCCAGAGUGUGUGUUUCAUGGUGCAACAUUAUUUUAUAUAAGGGAGAAAAACACACCUCAAAGACAUUUGGUUUCUUCAUUUUUGUUCCUUGUUUGCAGGUCUCUAACUGCACCCACCGUGAAUCCUGCUCUUUUUUUCUAAUUAUUUAAAAUGUAUAUUAAAAUCAUGGCUUUUCAACUACUCUCAUGAGUGUGUGUAUGUGGAUUGUUUGAAUUUGAAGAAACAAAUAAAAUCGCUCCUACACAUAUCAGAACAUGGCAGCUCCCACGUUACGACAAAAUCAUUCACAUACGACAUGAAUGAACCAUAGAUAAUUAUUUUAAAUGUAAAAAAAUAAAUACCAUACAACUCAACGAAUUUGCUAAGAAAUUACACAUUUGUUUAUUCCUCCAUUCCACUUCCAGGGCUCCUAUUGUCAUGUAGAACUGUACUAAGUUCAGUGGUAUCAGAAAAUGUUGCACCUAGAGUGAAUUGUGAGGUUGGUUAGUGAGGUGGUGGUGGUGUCUUGUUAUUGAAAUGGCGCUGUAGAGUAUCUGCCACUAUACACCUGACAGAGACUGCUUGAUUCCACAUUUUACCUUCUGUUGCAUCAACAUUCUAUCUUCUAUAAUUCUGUGAAGCACAGAUGUCAUGAGCAGGUAUAGCCCCCCAUGGCUGGGGAGUUAUGCAUCGUGCCAUUUCAGCUGUUGCUUGUGUCUGUAUGGGAAUGCAGGCUCAGCUUUAUUAAAGAGAUUGAUGUCUACCAGUGGAAAAGGAUCAUCAUGUGGCGGUUGUUGAAUUAGCUCCAGCUUAAUAGGAUCUAAUCAUGUGUUUUUUUAUUCAACAUCUUCUUCACCUUAUCAUGUCGUCUCCAAUUUUGUAAAAGUUCUUUGAUUACAAUCUGAUGUUCGCAGGCAGGCUAAUAUUUUAGUGAUGCAUUUUGCACGAGUGCUUGAAAUCUCUUCAUCAUUUGAUUUAGAUUAUACUGCAAGUCCCUGAAUGCAACACUGAUACUACUGGCCUAUCCUGUCACCACUUACUAAUGAUUUUUUUCCAUCAUAAAAAAAUACAACCCAACAUUGGCUACAUAGCAACAUAAGGUAACAUCUCCCCACUACAAUUUUCAUGGUAACCUAUACUCGUGCAUUUACCAAGCAUGAAAGCAAAUUGGAAGCUAAAUGAGCAUCCCCACUACUUAAUGGUUAUUGGACAGUACCUUUUAUAGCAGUUCCCAAAUUUAUUAUCUUUUUUUCAUGAAAGUAGCAAAAAUUUAAAUCAAUUGUCACCCUUUGCCUCCCAACCAUUUAUAUUUGCCGCUAUCCAAUCCACUGUCUCCCUAUAGAUUACCACGGUCAGUGGUAUUCUGAAUCCUGAGUAAUAGUAAGCUGAGAUGGUGCGGGCCACUACCAGUCACACAUUUGUGCUCCAUGUUGGCCUUCAAAUUCUUUUUGGUUCUGAAGACUAGGUUCUCCCUUGGACCUAAAUGUUAUUCAAGUUCCUUACAUGUUGCUCGUUCAGUCACAAAGUUCAGAAUGUUCAUCCACAGGCAAUUCAUCUCAAUAUUUCCACCAUCUUGGCCUGUGAAAAUGCUGAAGACAAGUCGGUGCAGGUAAAAUUAAUCAACAGCAAUGUAUUUUCUGGCACUAUACAGAGUAUAUAGUCACAAAUAUGCUCAUAGUAAAUAAGUUAUAUUUCCCCAUGAAUUUACAAACAAGACUAUUUGCACAUUUUGGAUGAAAUAAUCCCCUAUUAAUAUAUUCUCGUAAUUACCAUGUCAACAUCUAGAUUUCAUAUUUUCAUAUUUAGCCACAUUCAGUGGCAACUGCAUUGUCAUCUACCUACUAAACAUAUUAUCCUUAAUUAUAGUACUUUCGAUUCAAUAGUCUUCCCUGAUUGAAGCUAAUUUUGGUAAUUCUUUGUACCCCAAUUCUUGAAUCCUGAGUGUUUAAGAGAAUCCUUGCUCCCAGUUUAUUUUAUUAUUUAGGCUAUUUUUCUUGGCCAGUUCCAGUUAUGAAAGCCUUGGCUGCUCUGAAGGGUAAUCUGUAGGCAUGAGCAUGGGGAAAAUUUUCGGUUCGGCAUUCCGAAAUUCGGGACUUCCGCAGUUCGGGACUUUGGCCCUUCGGGACAUUGGGACUUCUGCAAUUCGGGACUUCCGCAAUUCGACACUUCGGAACUUCCGCAAUUCAACACUUCGGCUGCUCACUGUUAAAAAAAAGAUAAGGGUCCCCACUCCUGAGCCCCCACCCGCAACAGCCUGCUCACUGUUUAAUAGAUAAUUUACUAAUACUAAGUAAUCUUUACUUAGUAUUAGUAAAUGUGGCUGAAAGACCAAUUUAGGUCAUUCAGCCUUUUAGUAGAUAGCUCCCUAAUACCGUGGGAAUUAGGGAGUUAUCUACUUAUUCAUUCCUGUCAUUACAUUGAUAGGCUAAGUAACUUACAUUUUAUAUGAAUGUAUGUUACUUGAUUGUUGUAAGUGUUGCAAAUCCUUACAGCGGAAUCCUGGCUAUGUUUGUAUACUUUUUAUUUAAAGGACCACUCUAGGCACCCAG
rnacentral:lncRNA from 1 species